rnacentral:rRNA from 1 species
GUACGCUGGCGGCACGCCUAACACAUGCAAGUCGAACGAAGUAGCAAUACUUAGUGGCAGACGGGUGAGUAACAUGUAGGUAUCUGCCCUUUGGCCUGGAAUAACACGAGGAAACUUGUGCUAAUACCGGAUAAGUCUUUACGGAGAAAGCUUUAUGCACCAUUGGAUGAGCCUGCACUUGAUUAGUUUGUUGGUAGGGUAAUGGCCUACCAAGACUGUGAUCAAUAGCUGAUUUGAGAGGAUGAUCAGCCACAUUGGGACUGAGACACGGCCCAAACUCCUACGGGAGGCAGCAGUGGGGAAUCUUGCACAAUGGAGGAAACUCUGAUGCAGCGAUGCCGCGUGAGUGAAGAAGGCCCUUGGGUUGUAAAGCUCUUUCGUCGGGGAAGAAAAUGACUGUACCCGAAUAAGAAGGUCCGGCUAA